UACGAAGGUCCCAAGCGUUGUUCGGAAUCACUGGGCGUAAAGCGUGUGUAGGCGGCGGGGUAAGUCAGAUGUGAAAGCCCGAGGCUCAACCUCGGAACUGCAUCCGAUACUGCCUUGCUUGAGUAAUGGAGGGGAGUCUGGAAUUCACGGUGUAGCAGUGAAAUGCGUUGAUAUCGUGAGGAACACUAGUGGCGAAGGCGAGACUCUGGACAUUUACUGACGCUGAGACACGAAGGCUAGGGUAGCGAAAGGG
rnacentral:rRNA from 1 species